ACAGUCACGGAAGCCCAGAAUGGUUUGGGUUGGAAGGGACCUUAAAAAUCAUCUUGUUCCACCCCCUGCCAUGGGCAGGGAAACCUUCCGCUAUCCCAGAUUGGUCCAAGCCCCAUCCAACCUGGCCUUGGACACUGCCAGGGAUGAG